GUCUAUGGUCAUGUCACCCUAAACAAGCCCGAUCCCAUCUGAUCUCGGAAGCUAAGCCGGAUUGGGCCUAGUUAGUACUUGGAUGGCAGACCACCUAGGAAGACCAGGUGCUGUAGACG
rnacentral:rRNA from 1 species